rnacentral:misc_RNA from 1 species
CAGCGAGCCGCAGAGGAAGGAAGGGAACAAGAGGAGCGCGCCGGCGGACAUUAUCCCUAUGGGGCCGCGCCAUAGCAGGAGUGUUUCGAUGGAUAGCGUGUUCACUGGAAAGCUGAACUUCGGGGAGGAGUCGCCGAGGCUACCGCCGUCGGCGGGGCAGGGCCAGCACUCGAGGAGUGGAUCGAUGGACGGGAUGCAGAGCUUUGAGUGUGGGAAUGGCGAGUUUAGUCCAAUGGAGAUGAAGAAG